rnacentral:lncRNA from 1 species
CUAGAUGUAUUCGAAUUUUUUUGUAAACGAAUGAAGUGGAUUGCAAAAAGAAAAUACAGAUUUCUAUACAUAAAAUUUCAAUAUGACGGUGGGUUGCCCGGGAUUUGAACCCAGAACUAGUCGAUGGAGUAGAUAAUUUUCUUGUUAUGUUAACUAAAUAAGAAAAAACCCCUCCCCAAGCCGUGCUUGCAUUUUUCAUUGCACACGGCUUUCCCUAUGUAUACAUCUAUAAAGACUUUAAAAAGUUGAAUACUCGGUUGAUUUAACCCUUAGUACAU